rnacentral:rRNA from 1 species
UGGAACUUAGAGUUUGAUCCUGGCUCAGGACGAACGCUGGCGGCGUGCCUAAUACAUGCAAGUCGAGCGGACUUGACAGAGCUUGCUCUGUUCAAGUCAGCGGCGGACGGGUGAGUAACACGUGGGUAACCUGCCUGUAAGACUGGGAUAACUCCGGGAAACCGGGGCUAAUACCGGAUAAUAUCAAGAGCUGCAUGGCUCUUGAUUGAAAGGCGGCUUCGGCUGUCACUUACAGAUGGACCCGCGGCGCAUUAGCUAGUUGGUGAGGUAACGGCUCACCAAGGCGACGAUGCGUAGCCGACCUGAGAGGGUGAUCGGCCACACUGGGACUGAGACACGGCCCAGACUCCUACGGGAGGCAGCAGUAGGGAAUCUUCCGCAAUGGACGAAAGUCUGACGGAGCAACGCCGCGUGAGUGAAGAAGGUUUUCGGAUCGUAAAACUCUGUUGUCAGGGAAGGACAAGUACGGGAGUAACUGCCCGUACCUUGACGGUACCUGGCCAGAAAGCCACGGCUAACUACGUGCCAGCAGCCGCGGUAAUACGUAGGUGGCAAGCGUUGUCCGGAAUUAUUGGGCGUAAAGCGCGCGCAGGCGGCCUUUUAAGUCUGAUGUGAAAGCCCCCGGCUCAACCGGGGAGGGUCAUUGGAAACUGGAAGGCUUGAGUGCAGAAGAGAAGAGCGGAAUUCCACGUGUAGCGGUGAAAUGCGUAGAGAUGUGGAGGAACACCAGUGGCGAAGGCGGCUCUUUGGUCUGUAACUGACACUGAGGCGCGAAAGCGUGGGGAGCGAACAGGAUUAGAUACCCUGGUAGUCCACGCCGUAAACGAUGAGUGCUAAGUGUUGGGGGGUUUCCGCCCCUCAGUGCUGCAGCUAACGCAUUAAGCACUCCGCCUGGGGAGUACGGCCG